GGUAGUGGUUCUACAGAUCACCAGGAAGUCAGGACAGCUCAGCACAGGCUGUAACGAAGGUAGGGGGUGAAUGUGAGACAGGGAGAGGGAAGCAGAAAUGGAGGGGAAUUUGGAGAACAAAUAAAGUGUUAAGGAGAAGAAUAUAGAGAGAGGCAGAAAAUGUGGGGGACAAUAUGGAGACAGAAGAUGGGGAAAUUAUAAAGAGAAAAAGACAG